rnacentral:rRNA from 1 species
AAUGGCCUACGGGGCGCAGCAGUAGGGAAUAUUGCUCAAUGGGGGAAACCCUGAAGCAGCAACGCCGCGUGGAGGAUGAAGGUUUUCGGAUUGUAAACUCCUUUUGUUAGAGAAGAUAAUGACGGUAUCUAACGAAUAAGCACCGGCUAACUCCGUGCCAGCAGCCGCGGUAAUACGGAGGGUGCAAGCGUUACUCGGAAUCACUGGGCGUAAAGAGCGCGUAGGCGGGAUAGCAAGUCAGAUGUGAAAUCCUAUGGCUUAACCCUCGAACUGCAUUUGAAACUGUUAUUCUAGCGUAUGGGAGG